GGGCCUAGUAAUAGACUUGACUUGGGAAGUGGUGGCUUUUUCAACCCAUGUUUGCUCACAACCAAUAUCAAGCCAGAUGGUGUAAUGUUUUAUACUUAAGGAAAUAAAGUACCCUUUCCUGUCCCCUAAAGGAAAAGAGUAAAAAUACAGACUUUUCCUAUCAGCCUGGAGAUGCCUUCAGCGUGAUCUGCCCUAACAGUGAUUCUGAGGUACAAAGCCUACUCCAAAGACUGCAGCUUGAAGAUAAAAGAGAGCACUGCGUCCUUUUGAAAAUAAAGGCAGACACAAAGAAGAAAGGAGCUGCCUUACCCCAGCAUAUACCUGCGAGAUGUUCUCUCCAGUUCAUUUUUACCUGGUGUCUUGAAAUCCGAGCAAUUCCUAAAAAGGCAUUUUUGCGAGCCCUUGUGGACUAUACCAGUGACGGUGCUGAAAAGCGCAGGCUACAGGAGCUGUGCAGUAAACAAGGGGCAGCCGAUUAUAGCCGCUUUAUACGAGAUGCCUGUGCCUGCUUGUUGGAUCUCCUCCUCGCUUUCCCUUCUUGCCAGCCACCGCUCAGUCUCCUGCUCGAACAUCUUCCUAAACUU
rnacentral:sRNA from 1 species